CCGGCGUCUGCCAAUUAAAUAAAUCCGGCGUCUCAGAUCCACGAUUACACACAUCAUCGCCGUCGACUAAUUGCAAAUCAUACCACCGGAUUUUUGUUUUGUAGAGAGAGAGAUGAAACCGUCGGGUUCUUUUUUGGCGGAGGAAACAAAGCACUAGUGCUUUAUUUUUUUGGUUUUGUUACAAAUAAAACCCAAUCACAUUCGGCCACGUCGUCGCCUCUCUCACUCUCAAUAAUCUCUCUUCGUAGAGCCAGCUCU